GCGUAUAUUAAAGUUGUUGCAGUUAAAAAGCUCGUAGUUGGAUCUGGGUCGCAUGGCUACCUGCCGUUGCUAACGCCUCGAAUUGACCACGGUUGAUUUGAGGUGUGUGCGUCGGUGUAGUAGCUGAGCAGCCUUUCUGCCGUGUCUGUGUAUACGGGUGUUGACGGGUCUUCGGAUCUGUCGGCAUGCUUCCGGAUGCCUUUCAUAGGGUGUCUGGGGCGNACGGCACGUUUACUUUGAACAAAUUUGAGUGCUCAAAGCAGG
rnacentral:rRNA from 1 species